CAGAAGCUAUGGAAGCGAGUGGAAAACAGAGCGCACAGCUCUGUGGAUACUGGUGACACUUCAUGACUGUGACCCAGAAUGAACUAGCACACACAGGGACACAGGGCUUCAUUGGUCCCGGGCCUCUGUCCAUGACCAGGUGGUCAGCAGAAGGACUUCUGCACCUGAUUAUACAACAAGGCUUUGUGUUUCAGUGGACAUCUGAAAUCCACUUUUCAGGAGCAAGUUCUUUUUGUAAGCUUACCUUCCAAAGCUGAUCUUACGUAUUUCUAGAUGUGAGAAUCUUGAGUGAUGUGAGUCACGUUUUAGUUGGAUUUUAAUACGUUUUCAGCUAGAUUUUAGUUAGAUUUUCACAAAAAGCAUUACUAUCUUAAUUGUUUGUGAAGUUCACUUAGGCAAAAAUUAUGUAUUUCAAGGCAACACAAGAUAAAACUUGGUGCUUUUUGAGCCCUCCUCUUGGUGCUGGUAGGUUAUUUAGGGCCUGGGAAAGGAAGAAAUCUCAUAUUCUGUGUCUAAAUUAUGUUAAAACUGUGCAGACAUCCAGUUUCCAAGGUCCCUGAGAGAAAAUGUGCAUGCAACAAUGAAUUAAGGAGAAAAGAAUUAUUUCUCAGUCAGACUGGAAAGUUCUCCAAGGUCACUUCCAAGAGUGUAGCAGACAUCUCACCUCCUGUUGCCCGUAUUAGCCCUUCAUGGACAGUGAGAUUAAAAACACAGGUUGCUCUCCAGUGAAACUUUAAUUGCAGAGCUUU
rnacentral:lncRNA from 1 species